GGCUGAGACUCGGCUACUUGUUACAAGAGCACUUCCAAUCUCUGUACACAUCCAGUGAAUUAGAGGUUGGCAAAACUGUUGAAUUCUUAAUAAAUAUUUCCCUCCAAACUUUUCAACUGCUUUAAAUAUUUCUGUAAUUUUUAUGAACUCUUAGAUAUGACAAUACAUGAGAUUCAACAAUAUGGACUCUGUUGUUUUUCAAAGCCAUUCUAAAUUUAAAAACCGUUGAAGUAAACAUUUCAUUAUACUUUUUUUAUUAUUAUUAAGAACAGUAAACAGAAAGCACUGUAAAGUGCCAUUGUCUUCUCUUGAAUUCACCCAGAAGUUUUUUUUCUGUCUUG
rnacentral:lncRNA from 10 species